rnacentral:lncRNA from 1 species
AGCCCUAUUUGAGGGUGAAGGAGGAAGUGGAGGAAAAACAUGGCCUUCAAAUUGUUGGCGAAGGCGACGAGUAUUGCCUGAAGCAAAGCGACGAGAAGAAGAUGGAAUCGGUAACGACGACCUUUGUGGAUCCUGAUGAUGUGGCUAAGCCCUAUUCGAGAGUGAAGGAGGAAGUGGAGGAAAAUCACGGCCUUCGAAUUGGGGGCGAUGCUAUGUUUUAUGCUCAUAUUCUUAUCGGAGGAAAGUUUGGAGAAUGUCAAAUUGGUAACUGUUAAUUCCUCGCUCUAUACUUGUUGACUAUCCGUAUGUAAUCAAAUUUUGUUGUUGUGAUGCUGCUGCUGCUGCUGUUGUUAAAUCUUGUCUUUUCAUAAUUUCGGUUGAUUUUGCGAGAUAUUCGUAGCCAUGAUCGGACGCAGCCUUGGGGCGGAUGACAUACAGGGACGAAAAUUGUGUCGAUGCUGAACAAAUUAUAUCAUCUAGUAGAGUGCUAUUUUGCUACACCACCGGGUGAAUAUUACCCAUUUAGAACAGUAGACCCCGCAAGUUAGAUCUCACAGAUAGGAUAUUGAUGUGGGUGAACAAAAUAGCACUCACAUAAUUAAACUGAAACAUUAGAAGAAGAGGAAGAAUGAGAAGCUAAAAAACCUUUAGCUUGGUGGACGUUAGUUUUUCAAAAAUUAAUCGGGUGGAAAAACUAUAUAAUUUGAAAAUAUUAGUAGCUUAUACUAUUAUUAUAAUGGGUUUUUACCUUGGGGUGGCGUUGGCGCCCUUCUAUCUCUAUCUCUCUCCCCUCAAUUCCUAAUUGUAGCCUUGUUGGUUUUAUUUUUCCCGUGACGCUUCAAUGGGUUUCGGUCCUGAUUAGCCAUUGUUGGUUGGGUUUUUGAUGUUGCUUUUCUGGUUCUCGAUUGUGGUUACUGAUAUUUAUUUUUUCCUUUUAUCUUCCGUGAUGAAUUUAUUUAUAUUGAGAAGACAGUUUAAUGCUAGAGAAGAUGCAGCAUAUUCUCAAUGAAGCCUGUGAGUUGACACGAUCUAGAAUCCUAAGCAAUGAGAGGGAAGAGCUUGAUAGUGUGAGCAAUUAUGCGCGGUCUUUGAUAGAAUACAACGAGCUGGUUAAGGAGAAGAGCAUCCGAUCUCUUCAAGCAUUGGUGGGAUCGUGUGUUAGCCGGGAACUUAAUGGUGCAGAAAAUAAAUGCUUCUUCAUGGAUUCAUGGAUGCCAAUUCCGCGUGCCACACGUAACUCUGAAUUAGUCACGAGUGUCAGGCUGGUUGUGGUCUGCUUCACCUGGCCAUGGAAGCUAGAACUUGUCUGGAAUUCCUAAGCGCCUCAGUUGUGAGUUCAUGACCUCCUCCACAAACUGACAUGGGCGAUUCGUAUGAAGUUCAGAGACAUAUGACUGUGGGACAAAUCAGGAAAGGAGGUGGUAAUUUACCAUAGUCCGUAGCAUGUCAAAUAGAUGUUGUGCUGUUUCAAUUUUUUUUCUGGUUUCAUGUGUUUUGUUGAUUCCUACUACUUGAGUUCGAAUCCAAGCCGUUUGCAUGGUAAGGUUGCGAGCCCGCAUUUCUGGCAUUCCAAUUCCGUGGCUUCCUACUUUCUGGGGAGGAAUGCUGGGACCAUCUUGUACAUGACUUUUGGGCGUGAGAUGGUUUUGGGUCAGGAUCACGGACUAGUGCUAUGAUUGAAGACCAUGUUUUUCCGUCCUUGAUACGGAUAAGCCAAGGGUUCCCAGAGGGUUUCUCUUCUUGGCGCCUCUGGCGAUGGUAAGGCAGAACUUGCCAAAGCAUCGCCGUGCAUCUAUAUGAUAGUGGACGGCUAAUAAGGGUGGACCUGUCAGAAUUACAGAAUCUGCCUUGGGGAGACUGUCGACGCUGUGAGUCUAUGCCGUACAGUGUUGUUAUUCUCUUUCGGAAAAAUGAGAAGGCCCCCUCUCGAUUUGGACAUCAUCAUUCAUAUUCUAAUCAGGUUAGACUAAUUGAGGGCAAGGAGUAGCAUCGACUUCACUAAUACCAUGUUAUUAGACUUCAAAUGUGGGAGCAGAACGCCAAUUUGUUGGGACAUGCUUCUUGCAUGAUCCGCGGAAGUUUUUUGGAAAACAUGAUUGUUACCUGAGGGUUGGGUAGCGGCCCUGAGCGAGAAUGAAGAGGUUAUUAUAGGAUUUUUAUAGGUUAGAAAUCUCAUUUGUGUUUGAUGUGGGAUAUGCGAGGGUUUCUUUUCAAGUAGAGACAAUCAAUAUUUUUGUCCAUAUGCUUUGCAGGCAAAAAAGUUCCUCAAACCUGAGUUGCUGAAACUUCUGGAUAAUAUAUAUGUGUUUGAGAAGAGGGUUUCAAAUAACCGUAUUGCUAGGCUUAAAUUGAGGGACAUGGCUAGAUCAAUAACUGAACGAAAGGUUGUGGUAUACCCUUCUGAGGAAGCGUUAAAUGUAUUGUCUCUCGAGCUGCCUGUGAGUAUCCUUUAUCAUCUUUUCAGUUGUUUAUUUUGAGUUGGAUUUUGUAUAAAUACGUU